GGUUCCAUAGUGUAGCAGUUAGCAUGUCUGCUUUACAUGCAGAAGGUCCUGGGUUCAUGUUCCAGUGGAGCCA
rnacentral:tRNA from 1 species